rnacentral:rRNA from 1 species
UACGAAGGGGGCUAGCGUUGUUCGGAAUUACUGGGCGUAAAGCGCACGUAGGCGGAUUGUUAAGUGAGGGGUGAAAUCCCAGGGCUCAACCCUGGAACUGCCUCUCAUACUGGCAAUCUCGAGUUCGAGAGAGGUGAGUGGAAUUGACGAGUGUAGAGGUGAAAUUCGUAGAUAUUCGCAGGAACACCAGUGGCGAAGGCGGCUCACUGGCUCGAUACUGACGCUGAGGUGCGAAAAGCGUGGGGGAGCAAACAGG